AUGACUUCCGGAUUCAAGGAUCAGAUUCAUCUAUCUCAACCUGAGUGUCCGGAGGGAGGAACGCUGAAGUUUCAAGCACACAGACGCAGACAGCCAUGUUUUCCGGCCUCCCGUGUAGCUAGAUUCACCGUGGGACAGAGCCCUAGGCCAUGCCCAGGCGUGGUCUGUAGACAUCUCACGCACAUGCUUCGCCAAGCUCUCCUGGAUGACGAGGAUGAGAAAGACCACAGAGGCUUUGGAGAAAUUGUGUUGAAAAGGACAGAGCCUUAGUCAUCCUUGGUUAGUGAACCACCACCCGGCUCCUCGGAUAGGGGGAAAUCGCCCUCAUGAACAAAGAACACCUGCCUUGUCUUUUAUGUGAGCAAGAAAUAGUCUUCUAGUGCAUUUCCCUUGCUCUACAUUUAGGGUUCCAUUUGUUUCAGUAGCUGUGUCCCUACUUGUCUGUAAAGACCGUUUCUUGAGAGAAUAUAUGUGUAAUACGUAAUUACACUCUAUAAUUGCAAAGCAAACAAAUAAACUGUUAAAAGUCCCUUCUCUGUGGGUCUCUAACAUUUCUUUCCUGUGUUUGGACUUGUUGGGAAGGAGGUCCUGAGAAAGAGGAGAGGGACGGGUGCACACACUCUUCCAGGUUCCCGUCAUGCCCCAAUUCCAUGAUCCCAUGACAGUCGGGGCCAUAGCAUAAAUUGUUUAGAUUUCUAAAAUGGAUCUGGAAAAUGUAUGCCUUUCCUGUUGGGGAAAUUCUCUUGAUUUAUGAUCGCCA
rnacentral:lncRNA from 1 species